GCAAGUUUCUUUGAUCCUAAAGGUAGUGCUCAAUUGACAAACCGUGUGGUGACCCUUUGGUAUCGAGCACCAGAACUUUUACUUGGAGCCUCUCGCUAUGGAGUUGCCGUAGAUUUAUGGAGUACUGGUUGCAUUCUUGGGGAACUGUACGCUGGCAAACCUAUUUUGCCAGGAGAACUGAGGUUGAGCAACUGCAUAAGAUUUUUAAGCUCUGUGGUUCACCUUCUGAGGAUUAUUGGAGAAAACUGAAGCUACCUCAUUCAUCUGUAAUCAAGCCUCAACGACCAUAUAAACGAUGUGUUGCAGAAACAUUUAAAGAUUUACCNNNNNNNNNNNCUUAUGGAGACCUUGCUUUCCAUGGAUCCAGCCAACCGUGGAACUGCAGCUUUUGCUCUUA
rnacentral:misc_RNA from 1 species